GAGUUAUGUCAUGUUAUCGAUAUGUGAAUACAUAGCAUAUCAGAAGGCACACCCGGAGAACUGAAACAUCUUAGUACCCGGAGGAAGAAAAAGAAAAUUCGAUUCCCUUAGUAGCGGCGAGCGAAACGGGAAGAGCCCAAACCAACAAGCUUGCUUGUUGGGGUUGUAGGACACUCUAUACGGAGUUACAAAGGACGACAUUAGACGAAUCAUCUGGAAAGAUGAAUCAAAGAAGGUAAUAAUCCUGUAGUCGAAAAUGUUGUCUCUCUUGAGUGGAUCCUGAGUACGACGGAACACGUGAAAUUCCGUCGGAAUCUGGGAGGACCAUCUCCUAAGGCUAAAUACUCUCUAGUGACCGAUAGUGAACCAGUACCGUGAGGGAAAGGUGAAAAGCACCCCGGAAGGGGAGUGAAAUAGAACCUGAAACCGUGUGCUUACAAGUAGUCAGAGCCCGUUAAUGGGUGAUGGCGUGCCUUUUGUAGAAUGAACCGGCGAGUUACGAUUUGAUGCAAGGUUAAGCAGUAAAUGUGGAGCCGUAGCGAAAGCGAGUCUGAAUAGGGCGUUUAGUAUUUGGUCGUAGACCCGAAACCAGGUGAUCUACCCUUGGUCAGGUUGAAGUUCAGGUAACACUGAAUGGAGGACCGAACCGACUUACGUUGAAAAGUGAGCGGAUGAACUGAGGGUAGCGGAGAAAUUCCAAUCGAACCUGGAGAUAGCUGGUUCUCUCCGAAAUAGCUUUAGGGCUAGCCUCAAGUGAUGAUUAUUGGAGGUAGAGCACUGUUUGGACGAGGGGCCCCUCUCGGGUUACCGAAUUCAGACAAACUCCGAAUGCCAAUUAAUUUAACUUGGGAGUCAGAACAUGGGUGAUAAGGUCCGUGUUCGAAAGGGAAACAGCCCAGACCACCAGCUAAGGUCCCAAAAUAUAUGUUAAGUGGAAAAGGAUGUGGCGUUGCCCAGACAACUAGGAUGUUGGCUUAGAAGCAGCCAUCAUUUAAAGAGUGCGUAAUAGCUCACUAGUCGAGUGACACUGCGCCGAAAAUGUACCGGGGCUAAACAUAUUACCGAAGCUGUGGAUUGUCCUUUGGACAAUGGUAGGAGAGCGUUCUAAGGGCGUUGAAGCAUGAUCGUAAGGACAUGUGGAGCGCUUAGAAGUGAGAAUGCCGGUGUGAGUAGCGAAAGACGGGUGAGAAUCCCGUCCACCGAUUGACUAAGGUUUCCAGAGGAAGGCUCGUCCGCUCUGGGUUAGUCGGGUCCUAAGCUGAGGCCGACAGGCGUAGGCGAUGGAUAACAGGUUGAUAUUCCUGUACCACCUAUAAUCGUUUUAAUCGAUGGGGGGACGCAGUAGGAUAGGCGAAGCGUGCGAUUGGAUUGCACGUCUAAGCAGUAAGGCUGAGUAUUAGGCAAAUCCGGUACUCGUUAAGGCUGAGCUGUGAUGGGGAGAAGACAUUGAGUCUUCGAGUCGUUGAUUUCACACUGCCGAGAAAAGCCUCUAGAUAGAAAAUAGGUGCCCGUACCGCAAACCGACACAGGUAGUCAAGAUGAGAAUUCUAAGGUGAGCGAGCGAACUCUCGUUAAGGAACUCGGCAAAAUGACCCCGUAACUUCGGGAGAAGGGGUGCUCUUUAGGGUUAACGCCCAGAAGAGCCGCAGUGAAUAGGCCCAAGCGACUGUUUAUCAAAAACACAGGUCUCUGCUAAACCGUAAGGUGAUGUAUAGGGGCUGACGCCUGCCCGGUGCUGGAAGGUUAAGAGGAGUGGUUAGCUUCUGCGAAGCUACGAAUCGAAGCCCCAGUAAACGGCGGCCGUAACUAUAACGGUCCUAAGGUAGCGAAAUUCCUUGUCGGGUAAGUUCCGACCCGCACGAAAGGCGUAACGAUUUGGGCACUGUCUCAACGAGAGACUCGGUGAAAUCAUAGUACCUGUGAAGAUGCAGGUUACCCGCGACAGGACGGAAAGACCCCGUGGAGCUUUACUGUAGCCUGAUAUUGAAAUUCGGCACAGCUUGUACAGGAUAGGUAGGAGCCUUUGAAACGUGAGCGCUAGCUUACGUGGAGGCGCUGGUGGGAUACUACCCUAGCUGUGUUGGCUUUCUAACCCGCACCACUUAUCGUGGUGGGAGACAGUGUCAGGCGGGCAGUUUGACUGGGGCGGUCGCCUCCUAAAAGGUAACGGAGGCGCUCAAAGGUUCCCUCAGAAUGGUUGGAAAUCAUUCAUAGAGUGUAAAGGCAUAAGGGAGCUUGACUGCGAGACCUACAAGUCGAGCAGGGUCGAAAGACGGACUUAGUGAUCCGGUGGUUCCGCAUGGAAGGGCCAUCGCUCAACGGAUAAAAGCUACCCCGGGGAUAACAGGCUUAUCUCCCCCAAGAGUUCACAUCGACGGGGAGGUUUGGCACCUCGAUGUCGGCUCAUCGCAUCCUGGGGCUGUAGUCGGUCCCAAGGGUUGGGCUGUUCGCCCAUUAAAGCGGUACGCGAGCUGGGUUCAGAACGUCGUGAGACAGUUCGGUCCCUAUCCGUCGUGGGCGUAGGAAAUUUGAGAGGAGCUGUCCUUAGUACGAGAGGACCGGGAUGGACAUACCUCUGGUGUACCAGUUGUCGUGCCAACGGCAUAGCUGGGUAGCUAUGUGUGGACGGGAUAAGUGCUGAAAGCAUCUAAGCAUGAAGCCCCCCUCAAGAUGAGAUUUCCCAACUUCGGUUAUAAGAUCCCUCAAAGAUGAUGAGGUUAAUAGGUUCGAGGUGGAAGCAUGGUGACAUGUGGAGCUGACGAAUACUAAUCGAUCGAAGACUUAAUCAA
rnacentral:rRNA from 1 species